CUUAGUACGAGAGGACCGGGGUGGACGCACCUCUGGUGUCCCAGUUGUCGCGCCAGCGGCACGGCUGGGUAACCAAGUGCGGAGCGGAUAAACGCUGAAAGCAUCUAAGCGUGAAGCCGACCCCAAGAUAAGAUCUCCCACAGGGUCAACCUGGUAAGACUCCUCGUAGAUGACGAGGUUGAUAGGCCGGGGGUGUAAGCGCAGCAAUGCGUUGAGCCGACCGGUACUAAUCAGUCGAGGGCUUGACCUG
rnacentral:rRNA from 1 species